UUAGUUAAAAAAUAUAUUUUUAUAAUUUUUUUUUCGUAUUUAGUAUAAAUAAUUUUCUUGUUAAUAUUUCUGUAAAGGCUUUUAUAUUAAAGUUUUAUCUAUGUAUUGUACCUUUUGUAUCAGGGUUAAUUUACUAUAUAAAUUAUUUUUAUUUCCCGAAAUUAAAGUAUUUAAUAUAAUUUAAUUUUAUCUGUGGCAAAAUAUUUUUGUAAAUUUUAUUAAUAAUUAAAAGUUAAUUGACUUUUUUUAUAUCUGGUUACUUUAGAUUAAAUUUAAUUUUAAAUUAUUUAUUUUUGUUAUUUUUUAUUUUUAAUUUUAUUUUAUUAGGGAUAAUCUUAAUAUGUUUAUAUAAUAAUAAAAUAUUUAUUUGAAUUAAUUUUUAAAUUUUAUAUUAAGUUUUUAAUUAAUUACUUUAAAUUUUUCAUAUUUUUUUAAAUUUAUUUUUUUAUAAAGUAUAUUUAAUUAUUUAUAAAUAUUUUUUACAAUGAUUAAAUUAGUAAAGUAUUAAAUUAUAAUAAUUGAACUCGACAAAUAUUUUUUCCAACUGUUUAACAAAAACAUUUCCUUUAGAUUUAAAUUUAAAGGUAAUUUCUGCCCUAUGAUUAAUUAAAUGGCUGCAGUAUUCUGACUGUACAAAGGUAGCAUAAUAAUUAGCCUUUUAAUUGAAGGCUUGUAUGAAGGAAUUAAUGAGAUAUAAAUUAUAAUGAUUUAUAAUUCUAAAAUUUGAUUUUUUAGUAAAAAAGCUGAAGUAUUAAUAUGGGACGAAAAGACCCUAGAGAACUUUUAUUAGAUUAUUAAUUAUUAUUUUAUUAUAAUAAGUUUUAAUAAUUUAUUUUUUAUUGGGGUGAUAAAUAAAUUUUAAACUUUAUUUUUUUAAAUAUCAAUAAGAUAAUAAUAAUGAUUCAAUAGGUUGGUUUAAGUUUAAGUUACCUUAGGGAUAACAGCGUAAUUUGAAUGGAGAGUUCUUAUUUAUAUUCAAGUUUGCGACCUCGAUGUUGAAUUAAGAUAAAUUUUUGGAGCAGCAUCUUUUUAAUUAAGUCUGUUCGACUUUUAAUUUCUUACAUGAUUUGAGUUCAAACCGGUGUAAGCCAGGUUGGUUUCUAUCUUUAUUUUAAGUGUUUAUUUUAGUACGAAAGGACCAAAUAUACUAUUUCUAGUUAAUAAUAAAAAUUAAUAAAUUUAAUUA
rnacentral:rRNA from 1 species